rnacentral:rRNA from 1 species
CUUAAGUGGGGAAUAACGCAUCGAAAGGUGUGCUAAUACCGCAUAAUCUCUGAGGAGAAAAGCAGGGGAUCGCAAGACCUUGCGCUUUUGGAGCGGCCGAUGUCUGAUUAGCUUGUUGGUAAGGUAAAAGCUUACCAAGGCUUCGAUCAGUAGCUGGUCUGAGAGGACGACCAACCACACUGGGACUGAGACACGGCCCAGACUCCUACGGGAGGCAGCAGUGGGGAAUUUUGGACAAUGGGGGCAACCCUGAUCCAGCCAUGCCGCGUGAGUGAAGAAGGCCUUCGGGUUGUAAAGCUCUUUCAGCCGGAACGAAACGGUUACGGUUAAUACCCGUGACUACUGACGGUACCGGAAGAAGAAGCACCGGCUAACUACGUGCCAGCAGCCGCGGUAAUACGUAGGGUGCGAGCGUUAAUCGGAAUUACUGGGCGUAAAGCGUGCGCAGGUGGUUUUGUAAGUCAGAUGUGAAAUCCCCGGGCUCAACCUGGGAACUGCGUUUGAAACUACAAGGCUAGAGUGUGGCAGAGGGGGGUGGAAUUCCGCGUGUAGCAGUGAAAUGCGUAGAGAUGUGGAGGAACACCGAUGGCGAAGGCAGCCCCCUGGGUCAACACUGACGCUCAGGCACGAAAGCAUGGGGAGCAAACAGGAUUAGAUACCCUGGUAGUCCAUGCCCUAAACGAUGUCAACUAGUUGUCGGGCCUUAACGGGCUUGGUAACGUAGCUAACGCGUGAAGUUGACCGCCUGGGGAGUACGAUCGCAAGAUUAAAACUCAAAGGAAUUGACGGGGACCCGCACAAGCGGUGGAUUAUGUGGAUUAAUUCGAUGCAACGCGAAAAACCUUACCUACCCUUGACAUGUAUCGAAGCCCGCAGAAAAGCGGGGGUGCCCGAAAGGGAACGAUAACACAGGUGCUGCAUGGCUGUCGUCAGCUCGUGUCGUGAGAUGUUGGGUUAAGUCCCGCAACGAGCGCAACCCUUGUCAUUAAUUGCCAUCAUUUAGUUGGGCACUUUAAUGAGACUGCCGGUGACAAACCGGAGGAAGGUGGGGAUGACGUCAAGUCCUCAUGGCCCUUAUGGGUAGGGCUUCACACGUAA